rnacentral:rRNA from 1 species
AAUGAACGUUGGCGGUGUGGAUUAGGCAUGCAAGUCGAGCGCGAUAUGUAGCAAUACAUGGAGAGCGGCGAAAGGGAGAGUAAUACGUAGGUAUCUACCCUCGGGUCUGGGAUAGCAGCGGGAAACUGCUGGUAAUACCAGAUAACGUCUCCGGACCAAAGGUGUGAUUCCACCUGAGGAGGAGCCUACGGCCUAUUAGCUAGUUGGUAGGGUAACGGCCUACCAAGGCAAAGAUGGGUAUGGGGUGUGAGAGCAUGCCCCCACUCACUGGGACUGAGACACUGCCCAGACACCUACGGGUGGCUGCCAGUCGAGAAUCUUCGGCAAUGGGCGAAAGCCUGACCGAGCGACGCCGCGUGCGGGAUGAAGGCCUUCGGGUUGUAAACCGCUGUCGUAGUGGAGGAAAUGUAGGAGAGUUAUCUCUUC